UUUUGUAUAAACUAUUUUUUGAUAUCUCCAAUACUUUUAGAGAUAUAUCGAAAAUAGCAAAAAUCUGCUCUACAUCAGGAGCAGUUUCAUCAUUUAGAUCGCUUUUGAUCGGCACUUGAAAAUUUAUAAAUUUAUCUGUUUACCUAAUUACAUGUUUUUUUCCUGAAUGGGAAAAAUGCAUUGUGUAUCUCCAAUGGUCGGUCCAUGGGGGUAUAUGGGAUCCAUUAAAAAACCCACCGCUUGGACAGAAACACGACGACAUACUGUCACCGGAAACAACGAGGAUUAUUUCGGGAACCUAAUUACAUUGCCCAUAUUGAAGCCAUCAUAAUGGAUUUUUCAAAACGCCAGAGUGCUUUCGAGGUUAUUAGCUACAUUUGGUCACCAGCAGAAAUUUUCAAGAUUUUUUUGUAAUGGAAGGAGGGCGGCGUCCGAUUGACAGAGAAUACCUCAUAUAUGUAUAUAUACAGAGUGUCCCUGACUAUGUAGGUCAAGCUUAUAAAGAAGUAGAAGGAGUCGAAAUGAACAUAAAAGUCUAAUAUUGUCUUGAGUUAGGUUCACCAAUAAUCGAGAUAUUAUUUUUUUAAAUUAUGCGAAUGAGAGCGCGUUGAGCAUGGAAAACGGCGCGCUUUUUCUUCUUCCCUCCCUCCCCUACACACACAUACACACACAUAUACCAGGUUUGUAAAUAUGAAACAUGAAUUUGCCCAUAGCUGGCGCUAGCUGUCAAUGUAGUUACCGUCAAACCACGUCAUUGGCGCUAUUUUCUUGUUUUGACAUUUGAUAAAGAUUUUCAAUUCACAACAAUACAAGUUUCAUACAAAAGCAUAGUUUUUAAUAGCGUUGAACAUGUCGAAUUUUGUGCCUGGAAACUACGAUUUGCGGACAGCAUUGAUUUUCUGUUAUCAUUUGAAGAAAAUUGCUGCAGAAUUGCAUCAAUGCUUGUCGAAGCUUACGGUGAGCAUGCUCUUAGUAAAUCACAGUGCUUUGAGUCUAAAAAAUUCAAAAGUGGCGAUUUUGUCGUGAGAAACGGAGAACGUGGAAGAUCACCGAAAAAGUUUGAAGACAGCAAAUUGCAAGCAUUGUUGGAUGAGGAUGACGCUCAAACGCAACAACAACUUGCGGAUCAAUUAAAUGUGACACGAGAAGCCGUCUCCAUACGUUUGAAAACCAUGGGAAAGAUCCAGAAGAUGAGAAAAUAGGUUCUACAUGAACUGAAUGAAAGACAGCAGGAAAACCGAAAAACCACUUGCGAAAUGCUGCUUGCCAGAUGCAAAAGAAAGUCAUUUCUCCAUCGAAUUGUGACGCGAUGAAAAGUGGAUAUAUUUUGAGAAUCCUAAGCGAUAAAAGAUCAUGGGUAACUCCAGGUAAACCAUCGACAUCGACUACAAGGCCAAAUUGCUAUGGACGGAAGGCAAUGCUCUGUGUUUGUUGGGAUUAGAAGGGUGUGAUAUAUUAUGAACUACUAAAACCUGGCGAAACCGUUAAUACUGAACGCUACCAACAACAAAUGAUCGAUUUGCAUCAAGUUUGCGUGAAAAAUGACCAGGAUAUCAAAAAAGGCAACACAAAGUGAUUUUGCUUCAUAAUAAUGCACUAUCACACACAACAAAACCGGUCAAGGAAACAAUUGAGGCGUUUGGUUGAGAAAUACUUUCGCAUGCGGCUUACUCACCAGACUUGACUCCGAUUAUUACUUAUUUGCAUCGAUGGAACACGCACUUGCUGAACAGCGCUUCACAUCUUACGAAAAUGUACGAAAAUGGGUCGAUGACUGGUUUGCCUCAAAAGAGGAACAGGUUUUUUGGCGUGGCAUCCACAAAUUGUCAGAGAAAUGGGAAAAAUGUAUAUAGCGAUAAGCAGUACUUUGAAUAAAAUAUUUUUUAUCAUUUUUAUACAAUAAA